GACGAACCGAGCGAACGUUGUUCGGAAUCACUGGGCUUAAAGGGUGCGUAGGCGGGCUGCCAAGUUUGAGGUGAAAUCCUCCGGCUCAACCGGGGAAGUGCCUUGAAUACUGGCGGUCUGGAGGGAGGUAGGGGCGUGCGGAACUAACGGUGGAGCGGUGAAAUGCGUUGAUAUCGUUAGGAACUCCGGUGGCGAAGGCGGCACGCUAGACCUCUUCUGACGCUGAGGCACGAAAGCCAGGGGAGACGA
rnacentral:rRNA from 1 species